GUGGGGAAUUUUGGACAAUGGGGGCAACCCUGAUCCAGCAAUGCCGCGUGCAGGAAGAAGGCCUUCGGGUUGUAAACUGCUUUUGUACGGAACGAAAAGGCUCUGGUUAAUACCUGGGGCACAUGACGGUACCGUAAGAAUAAGCACCGGCUAACUACGUGCCAGCAGCCGCGGUAAUACGUAGGGUGCAAGCGUUAAUCGGAAUUACUGGGCGUAAAGCGUGCGCAGGCGGUGCUGUAAGACAGGCGUGAAAUCCCCGGGCUUAACCUGGGGAUGGCGCUUGUGACUGCAGUGCUGGGGUGUGGCAGAGGGGGAUGGAAUUCCGCGUGUAGCAGUGAAAUGCGUAGAUAUGCGGAGGAACACCGAUGGCGAAGGCAAUCCCCUGGGCCUGCACUGACGCUCAUGCACGAAAGCGUGGGGAGCAAACAGGAUUAGAAACCCUGGUAGUCC
rnacentral:rRNA from 1 species